rnacentral:rRNA from 1 species
AGCCGCGGUAAUACGGAGGGUGCGAGCGUUAAUCGGAAUUACUGGGCGUAAAGCGCAUGCAGGCGGCCUGUUAAGUCAGAUGUGAAAGCCCGGGGCUUAACCUCGGAAUUGCAUUUGAAAACUGGCAGGCUAGAGUCUUGUAGAGGGGGUAGAAUUUCAGGUGUAGCGGUGAAAAUGCGUAGAGAUCUGAAGGAAUACCAGUGGCGAAGGCGGCCCCCUGGACAAAGACUGACGCUCAGAUGCGAAAAGCGUGGGGAGCAAACAGGAUUAGAUACCCUGGUAG